GAUUUUGCAUUUUUUUAGCAUACAAUUUAGGGUUUGCUAACAAAUCAUGUUUUUACUAUGUAUAUCUGAAUACUACUGAUUUGAAAUUAUGUUCACAUGCUAUGGAUGCUUUUAAGAUUUGUAAAUGAGUUUUUUAUGCAGCAAAACACAUUCUUCAAUUAGGUUUCUUGAUUUGAGAUUUUUCUGCAUCUGAAGGGGAAAAUUAAUAUCAGUCAAGUGGAUUUUUACAACUCCUUGAGUGGAUUAUUAUUAGGUAACUCCUUGAUUUGAAGUUUAACUGACUGAAAAUGAGAAUUUCUUUUUUAUGUGCAGUUGGAGAGUAAAAACCUAGAGCUUGCAAAAGCUCUUAGAGUAUAUGCUGGAACUGAACCUGAUGCAGAUCUUGGUCCGAUUAUCAACAAACAGACAAAAGGAGCGAGUACACUCAUUAAUGAGUUCAAUCUAGAUGUUGCAGCAUGUCUGGGUGUUGCAGGAAGUACAACAUAAUGAUAAUGUUUUCUCGUCUCCAUCUCCGGCAAAUUCUAUUUGUUGCAACGAUGACAAAUCUGUUCGUUCAUUCUUGCAACAAUCAUAAAUGACCCUAUUAUGCUUAAUAUUGUCAUAUUGGUGUUUGCAAACAAAUAGGACCUGAGUGGAGCGAUGACGCCAGUGAAAAGUAUGUGAAGUACUAGGUCUCUUUGAUCUAAAGAUUAUAAAAUGGUACAUAUAAGGCAAAUGUGCCCUCAAGGGAGAUGACCUAUACAACGGCUUGGACUGGUCGGCUUCAUAUCCGAAGGCGAUAAAAGCUGAGGGAACCUUGUCCUUCUAAUUGUCAAGGCUAAGGACUACACGAGAAAGCAUCAUGUCAUCAUUGCUUGCAGUUACUUCUAUGUAUGACUUUCUUCUUAUUACAUUAGGAUUGUUAUAUUAUGGCUCUAAUGGUGCUACAUCAUAUCGGUAUUUGAAAAAAUACCAACUGUUUGUUACAGAGUUGCAUAGCAGAAUGAACAAAACUACGAUUUUCUGUGAUUUGCCAUUGACAACAUUGUAGUAAAUGUAUCCUCAUGUUGAUGGAUAUUUCUGCAUUUGUAACCACUUAUUACAAUUUAUUUGCACUUUAAAAUGUUUUAUGAUAUUCAUAUUUUCUGUUACAUUUUUUGUGUGAUGUUCCUAUUUGCAUUUAUCUUUAUUUUGUAAGUUAUUGUUGCUCAAGUUUCUUUAAUACAUGCUUUCAAAUAUUAUUGUUUAUGUUAACCUGUAUGGCAGUGAUUGAGUUUCAUGGUUAAUGUUAAUAUCAUAUGCAGGAAUAUUAGUAUAUUGCAUAAAAAACAAUUGCUGGCUUCUAUUCCUCUAAGUCAGAGCCUCAUCAAUUCACUAGAACUGGCUCAAGACCUAUGUAUUUUCCAAUGGAGGUUAAAUCUAAUUCAUGUUCUUAACCAUUUUUGUUAGACCUUAAAUCUGAUGGGGUAGUUUUAUUCCUAUUAACUUUGUUUAAUUGAGCCUGGACAGAGGUACUCCAAAAGAUUGAAUGGGCUACUAUAUUAUGUGAUAUAUUAAUGUUCU